UAGGGAGACCUACCUGCUCUAUAUUUGAAAGCAAUCAGCGAUUAGGAUAAGAGUUGGUCAUCCCAAGGUCGUUCAGGUUAGAAGUGUUGACUUUCAAACUAUUAUGGUUUGGUUCGUGGGCUAUUAGCUCAGGUGGUUAGAGCGCACCCCUGAUAAGGGUGAGGUCCCUGGUUCGAAUCCAGGAUGGCCCACCUUCACCUUAAUUUCUGUCAUUUUGGCGGGAAAGACAUUGAGGGGGUUUAGCUCAGUUGGUAGAGCGCCUGCUUUGCAAGCAGGAUGUCAACGGUUCGAGUCCGUUAACCUCCACUGGUUUUGUUUUAGCGCAUGGGAAAGUUAAAGUGCUUCAGCAACUUAUCUUGUGAGAGCAGGAGAGCCUGCUGUGACAUUUUGUCCAGCCAGAACCUUGAAAACUGCAUAGUAAUUUGUCAGGUAGGAGCUGAUUAGUUUAAGGACUAGUUAGCAAGUAUCACAGACACCAAUGUGGAUUGAUGUGCUACAUCAAGUG
rnacentral:tRNA from 1 species